CACAUGACUCUUACCCAAGCACCCAGGAAUGUCACAAUUAGCAGAAGGAGGAUAAAAAAGGGACCAACAACCAUGAAGUUAGGUUUCUGACAACAGAUUCCUCAUGAAGAAGAGGUUUUCUGACAUCAGAUUCCUCAUGACCUGCCACUCCCUCCUGGACUUGCUCUGCGCUUUACCUGCUUGCUGCCUAAGGCUGGCCACACUGCUGCUGCUCUCUCCCAAGAAGGUGACUGACAACAGAAGCCUCACGAGCUGAUGCCUGCAUGCUGAUGGUCUCCCUCCUGGGCCUGCUACCUGAGACCUGCUGCUUCCUCGUGGACUUACCCUGCUGCUUCUUCCUGGUACCCUCUUGUUGCCUAAGUCUGGCCACGCUGCUGCUCUCUCCCCUGCACUUUUGCCUCAGACCGUCAGAAUGGCAUGCAACAGGAUUCUGCUGGAUCUUGGUGGAAGCAUCAUGAGCUGUGACAGAGUUGCUGAGCAUGACCAGAAGCUUCCAGGCUCUUAACCAAGUCUGGGAAUAGGAGUGUCUUCUCACCUAACAUAGAACUUCAGCAACCAGCUUUCAGGACUAAACCCAUAUGUCAUCCAUCAGUGAUACCAUAAGGAUUCUUUCCCCCAUCCCACUGGGAAGGAGCUGUGUGGUUCUUAGCUGCCUGGUGGGUUAAGCCACAAGAGACAACUAUCAUCCUUUUAAACUCUUCCUUCUCUGGAUGUAAAGACUGAGGUUUACUACUACCUUUAAACUGCAGGAGAAAGAGAGAUGGGGAAAAAUAAUUAUUUUGGGAAUAGGUAUUAUAGUAGUGAUUAUAUCAGUCUGUUGUAAUGAAAGCAUAUGGUGGUGUGAACCUACAGGCAAUUCCUGAAAAAUAUUGAUUUUUGUCAUAGUGAGGCUCAAAAACAAGCCACAGCAUGUGUGGAAAUUCUUUAGUGUAUAUUAAAGUAUUGUGAGAUUGUGCUCCCUGCUGCUACCAACUUUCUCUUUCAGCCUGGACAUUAUGCCCGUGGCUUUGCACAGGACUGAUAACAAUGUCUUGCUAAAUACUAUGACCACAUAUUAUCAUCUUACCCCAUAAAUAGUGAGAAGCCCAAGAGCCAACAGCUCUAAUUCUCAUAAAAAGAUUGCACGUGAUCUCUCCAAUUCCUUCUAAAUAUUGUGAAUCUUGAGUGACUAUUGUUUUGGAGUAGAUUAUGUGGAAUAAUUAGUGGAGGUGACUCAGUGCAAUAUACCCAUCUUAAGAGAAGGUACAGCACUGAGGAAAUCCCCAGGUUGUGAUGUGGCGAAUAUGUACGUAGUUUGUCCUCUGACAGUCCCCUAAGAAACAUAAGGCUUUCAAACCUUGCACUGUCAGUAACACCAGAGGAGCUCAGUUUGCUGACUGUAAGAUAUCCAGAACAGAGAGUGGAGCAGAGUGUAAACACCAUGGUCAGGCUCUGUGAUAACACUGGGAGGAUGGGAACUGAAAAACUACAUAGCUGUAACUGUGAGUCAGCAGCUUUUCAUUUUUCUGUCACACCAAUAAGAAAAAAGAUAUGUUUGACUAGAGUCACUCAAGGUCCACCUGAAAUUAAGAAAAUAAUGCAAAAAUGGCUUAAGAGAGAAGGAAUUUGAGGGAAGACACCAUUGCAGACAAGCCAAGAGGAUGCCACUGGCUUCUGGGAUCAGUCAACAGGUUGAACCUCUUUAUCCCUCAUAGGCACACCUAUUGGGUAAGAUUCACACACUUGGUUAUAAUGAGUGCUUCCUUGCAAAACUUUGAAAUCUCCAUAGUUAUUCCAUAAUUUAACAUGUUUGCAGUCGACUGAAUUAUUCAUAUCCUUGGUAUUCGUAUGUGCUGUACAGACAGUGUAUUUAUCACUGGCAAUUCAAAGGAACCUGUAAUCUGUUUCCUCGAUAAAAAAAUAUUUAUCAAGUUAGCCUUGUGAGUUCUCACUGGUCACAGCAAAACUCUUUAAGGGUAACUAUAUGAGCCCACUUGAAUGUGAAAAAAUCUGUAGUGUCAAAUUGGGUAUUCUCACUUCAUCACAACAAGCACAUGUGAAUGACUAAAUACAUUGUUACGUUUUUUUUUAAAUACUGUCCAUUAUGAAAUAAACUUUCUGUGAACAU
ensembl:lncRNA